UACGUAGGGAGCAAGCGUUGUCCGGAAUCAUUGGGCGUAAAGCGCGCGUAGGCGGCCCCGUAAGUCCGUUGUGAAAGUCAAAGGCUCAACCUUUGAAAGCCGAUGGAUACUGUGGGGCUAGAGUCCGGAAGAGGCGAGUGGAAUUCCUGGUGUAGCGGUGAAAUGCGCAGAUAUCAGGAAGAACACCCGUGGCGAAGGCGGCUCUCUGGGACGGUACUGACGCUGAGACGCGAAAGCGUGGGGAGCGAACAGG
rnacentral:rRNA from 1 species